rnacentral:rRNA from 1 species
CACGGGGGGAGCAAGCGUUGUUCGGAAUCACUGGGCGUAAAGGGCGCGUAGGCGGCCUUCUAAGUCGAACGUGAAAUCCCUGGGCUCAACCCAGGAACUGCGUCCGAUACUGGAAGGCUUGAAUCCGGGAGAGGGAUGCGGAAUUCCAGGUGUAGCGGUGAAAUGCGUAGAUAUCUGGAGGAACACCGGUGGCGAAGGCGGCAUCCUGGACCGGUAUUGACGCUGAGGCGCGAAAGCUAGGGGAGCAAACGGG